AACGAACGCUGGCGGCAGGCCUAACACAUGCAAGUCGAGCGAGGACUUCGGUCCUAGCGGCGGACGGGUGAGUAACGCGUGGGAACGUGCCCUUUGCUUCGGAAUAGCCCUGGGAAACUGGGAGUAAUACCGGAUGAGCCCUUUGGGGGAAAGAUUUAUCGGCGAAGGAUCGGCCCGCGUUGGAUUAGGUAGUUGGUGGGGUAAUGGCCUACCAAGCCGACGAUCCAUAGCUGGUUUGAGAGGAUGAUCAGCCACACUGGGACUGAGACACGGCCCAGACUCCUACGGGAGGCAGCAGUGGGGAAUCUUAGACAGUGGGGGAAACCCUGAUCUAGCCAUGCCGCGUGAGCGAUGAAGGCCUUAGGGUUGUAAAGCUCUUUCAGCUGGGAAGAUAAUGACGGUACCAGCAGAAGAAGCCCCGGCUAACUCCGUG
rnacentral:rRNA from 1 species